GGAGAAGGAGGCGCUAGCCAAGGAGCACGCUGGCCUGGCUGUGCAGCUGGCGGCCUGCGGAGCGUGAAGGCAGGACCGUGUCAGAGGAGGCCACACACCUGCAGAGGCAGCAUGGCGGGAGCUGGAGGCCGAGCGGGCCCAGCUGCAGAGUCAGCUGCAGCGUGAGCAGGAGGAGCUGCUGGCCCGGCGGAAGGCUGAGAAGGAACAGCUGAGUGAGGAGAUUGCUGCCCUGCAGCAGGAGCAUGACGAGGGCCUCCUCCUGGCCGAGAGCGAGAAGCAGCAGGCCUUGUCUCUGAAGGAGUCUGAGAAGAUGGCGCUGUCAGAGAAGUUGAUGGGUACACGGCACAGCCUGGCCACCAUCUCCCUGGAGAUGGAGCGGCAGAAACCAGAUGCCCAGAGCCGGCAGGAGCAGGACCGGGUAGGCCUGCCGUCGUAGGGAGGCUUGCGGAGCAGGAGCGCCCUCUCUCCACCGAGCUAUCCCGCGGUUUCCAGCAUCCCAUCUGGCGGACUCCUCUUCCUCUCUCUUCUCCUACUCUGGGUCUUCUAUCCUGGUGUUCCUUGAAUGCCUAUCUUCCUUUUGUGCCUCGGAACCUCUCACGCCUGCCACAAGUUACUCUUUUCCUUGGUAGUUCUGAACUUUAAAUAAGGUAAUGCCUGUAAGAAUGCCAUAAAUGCUCAAUAAUUGUCAUCUGUUAUUAUUUUCAUCAGUAACAUCAUCUGAAUCAUCAGUAUUGUCUGCUUUUAACAGCUGCAUUUUUCAUUGUCCAAAUAUAGUCACAUACAUUUGACCAUUUUAUAAUUAUUGAAUAAUAAAUUUGUUCUGCUAUUUUACAAUGAAAAAUAAUGCUGCAGAGAGCAUUUUUGCACAUGUAUCGUGGCAGAUGUAGGCCAGAGGCUCUUCUUUUAUCCAUCCUAUGGCCAACCUAUGAAUGUAUACACGUUUAAUGAGAUUUUGCCAGCAAUCAAAGCCUUCAGGGAAAAUGUCCCUAGCUCUUUACUACAUCAGAUCAAGGACUCUGGAUAAUUGGCAUAACAUCCUGGAAUAGCUGAAACAGAGAUAUUAUUCUCUGCUCUCCUCUGUUGUCUUUGUCUUUUCACGUCUUAAUAAAAGUGCUGGUGACAAGAGUGUAA
ensembl:lncRNA novel transcript